rnacentral:rRNA from 1 species
UACGUAGGGGGCUCGCGUUGUCCGGAAUCAUUGGGCGUACGGAGCGUGUAGGCGGUCCGGUAAGUCCGCUGUGAAAGUCGGGGGCUCAACCCUCGAAUGCCGGUGGAUACUGUCGGGCUAGAGUGCGGAAGAGGCGAGUGGAAUUCCUGGUGUAGCGGUGAAAUGCGCAGAUAUCAGGAGGAACACCUAUUGCGAAGGCAGCUCGCUGGGACGUAACUGACGCUGAGACGCGAAAGCGUGGGGAGCAAACAGG